GACAGGACAGGGCAGACUCCCAGGGAGGCCAUUUGAGCUUCUUCUGGAAGGGUCAGCAGACAUGUGUCAGGAGACGAGAGGGAAGGGUCUUACACCAGGGAGCAGGAGCAGACACACAGGGUGGAGGCUGACGGGGAGUCCUCUCUUAGGUCCACAGGGCAUAAGGAUUGACCCCUAUAAACGGGGAGAUCUUUUCCUAGUUAUCUGUCCUGCUGGGGCUCUCCCUCCCCUCUCUGCCCCCAUCAGGAGGGGGUCUCAAAGGUCCCAGGGCACGUUCUCAGGGGCUGUGUGGAAUCUGAAGAGCCCACCCACUGCCCUGUGGGGUGGAGUGGUGUGGCCAGAGCCCCUGGGGUGGGCAGAAGGUGGUGCUGGGUGUCAUAGUCUGUCCUCCCCCACUGGACAGAUAAGAGAUGAUGGGAACCCGUCCAGCCAAGACCUGCAAGGGAAACCUUGUGAUAAAAGAAGUCUGGCAGGAAGGGGCCGACUGAUUUGGUUGGGAAUUUAUUUCAGAUGCCUCGGCCUGGUUGCAGCAUCACCUACAGCCUUGCUACGCAGAGUAUGGUCCUAAGCCCUGCAGCAUCACUGUCUCCCAGGGGCCUAUAAAAAGUGCAGACUCGUGGGCCCCCCAGAAUCUGCUUUUCAACACGAUUGCCAAGUGACUCAUGUGCACAUUCAAGUUGCACAAGUGCUGCUUUAUGGACUGAUUUCUCCUUUUUAAAUCUAUAUGUGAUCAGAUAUUUAAUAUCCGUAUAACAUAAAUAUAUAUAUCAUCAAAGUCAUACAUGUAUAUGGUUUUAAAAAGUGUGCUGAAAAUUCUCAGUAUUCUGUUGACCUCAAUUCUUCUUGCCAGAGGCAACCACUUCUAUUAUUAUUUCUGGCUUUAGUCUUCCUGUGGUUACUUCUAUGUGUCUAGCUGAUGCUUCUAAGGCUAUUUCUGGAGUUUUCAAACUGAGACAUCACCUAGUGACUUCCCGCUACUCUGGGGGGGAUUUACUCACUGAUGCCAUUCCUGCCUCCCCUUCUG
rnacentral:lncRNA from 1 species